GCCCCCGUAGCUCAGCGGAUAGAGCACCGGCCUCCGGAGCCGGUGGCACAGGUUCGAGUCCUGUCGGGGGCA
rnacentral:tRNA from 1 species